AACGGUCUAUACCUGCGGUACCUGCGGAGGGAUCAUUACACAUAGCGGGCGUCGUUGGAAGUCGUACUGGUCUAGGAAACUUAGUAAUUAGGCCAGAUGUUCUUCCAUGGGCCCCGCCCCGAGCUAAUCGCCGGGUCACCCUGCCUUUUGAGCACCAUUCGUUUCCUCGGCGGGCUUGCCCGCCACUGGGGACCCCAUCAAAACCUCUUGUAAUGAGAAGUAACAGUACUAUAAAGAAAU
rnacentral:misc_RNA from 1 species